GCGGGAGUGGCGGAAUUGGUAGACGCACUGGACUUAGGAUCCAGUGGGGAAACCCGUCCGGGUUCGAGUCCCGGCUCUCGCA
rnacentral:tRNA from 1 species